rnacentral:rRNA from 1 species
GACGAACGCUGGCGGCGUGCUUAACACAUGCAAGUCGAGCGGAAAGGCCCUUCGGGGUACUCGAGCGGCGAACGGGUGAGUAACACGUGAGUAACCUGCCCCAGACUUUGGGAUAACCCUCGAAAACGGGGGCUAAUACCGGAUACGACACAGCUUCGCAUGGGGUCUGUGUGGAAAGUUUUUCGGUUUGGGAUGGGCUCGCGGCCUAUCAGCUUGUUGGUGGGGUGAUGGCCUACCAAGGCGACGACGGGUAGCCGGCCUGAGAGGGCGACCGGCCACACUGGGACUGAGACACGGCCCAGACUCCUACGGGAGGCAGCAGUGGGGAAUAUUGCACAAUGGGCGGAAGCCUGAUGCAGCGACGCCGCGUGAGGGAUGACGGCCUUCGGGUUGUAAACCUCUUUCAGCAGGGACGAAGCGUAAGUGACGGUACCUGCAGAAGAAGCGCCGGCCAACUACGUG